GGAUGUGAGGGCAAUCUGGUUGUGACACCUGUCACCCCACUGAUGGCCAGGGUUGAUUCGGCUGAUCUGGCUGGCCAGGCAGGUAUCCCCUUCCUCCCUCACUGCUCCAUGUGCUUCCCUCCCAAAGCUUUGCGCUCGGUUGAAGAGGACGGUCUUCCCUGAAUAGAGAUGGAAGUCUUUGAUCCGGGAC
rnacentral:snRNA from 1 species